CCUCAAGUCUACCAAGGUCUGCCCCUCCUUCUGCAGCACCUCUUGGAGACUCACAACUUUGACAAUCUUUUCCUUGAGGCGGGCGGCCUCGGCCAGGUGACCUUCCUCCGCCUGGGCGGCCUCCUUCCUAGCAUUGUUCAUUGCCUCGAUGUUGGCGAUGAGCUGGUGUCCAAUUUGCAAGAGUGGCCAGGGAGUCAAUAUAAAAGCCAAGGAAUAAGCAAACUAAAGAGGCGAGAAGAAGGAGUAAAUUGACCUACCUCGAGAAAGGACCCCAGAGAGUUCCAGACCUGCUGCUCAAGAUCGGUGUGGAUUAUCCUGUAGACGACCUCAGGCAGGAUGCACCCAUCGACCAAUCUCUUUAUUAGAUCCCUAUUGUUGAAGGGAUUCUCCCUCGGAUUUUCUUUGGAGCCAUCAGCCCCCUCGAUGGCGGCCCUGCUGCUGUGGCUCUUGCGGGCCAAUGUCUUUUUUCUCCUUCUUCGUUCGGCCCCUGGUGCC
rnacentral:lncRNA from 1 species